rnacentral:rRNA from 1 species
UACGAAGGGGGCUAGCGUUGCUCGGAAUUACUGGGCGUAAAGCGUGCGCAGGCGGUUAUGUAAGUCAGAUGUGAAAUCCCCGGGCUCAACCUGGGAACUGCAUUUGUGACUGCAUAGCUAGAGUACGGUAGAGGGGGAUGGAAUUCCGCGUGUAGCAGUGAAAUGCGUAGAUAUGCGGAGGAACACCGAUGGCGAAGGCAAUCCCCUGGACCUGUACUGACGCUCAUGCACGAAAGCGUGGGGAGCAAACAGG